UGUGAACCAGUGGGGUCCCUUGGCCUGGCCUGUGCCCUCUCACAAUCUGGGACACCUCGGGGGACUUCAACUGGUUUUGGCCCAAUCCUGCAGGCCAGGCCAAGGGACCCCACUGGUGCAUG
rnacentral:pre_miRNA from 1 species